AUGAAGAGCUUCUCAUAUGCUGAUCUAGCCAAAGCGACAAAUGGUUUCUCUCCAGACAAUUUGGUUGGCUCAGGGGCAUACGGAUCAGUAUACAAGGGUGUACUUGAGUGUGAAACAAAUGGAAUGAUUGCUGUCAAAGUUUUCAACCUUGACCAACUUGGAGCACCAAAAAGCUUUGUUGCCGAGUGUGAGGCCUUCAGAAACACUCGUCAUCAUAAUCUUGUAAGGGUGAUUUCUGCAUGCUCAACAUGGGACAACAAGGGGAAUGAUUUCAAGGCUCUUAUUAUUGAAUACAUGGCUAAUGGCACCCUAGAGAGCUGGAUUUAUUCAGAAACAAGAAGACCGUUGAGUUUGGGCUCCAGAUUAACAAUAGCAGUGGACAUAGCUGCUGCACUGGAUUAUUUACAUGACAGUUGUGUGCCCCCUAUAGUCCACUGUGAUUUGAAGCCUAGCAAUGUGCUUUUAGAUGAUGCCAUGGGUGCCCGUCUCAGUGACUUUGGGUUAGCUAAGUUCCUUCAAAGUCAUAACUCUUCAAAUACUAUUACUUGUACAAGCUUAGCAGGACCGAGAGGAUCAAUUGGAUACAUUGCACCAGAGUAUGGCAUCGGGAACAUGAUCUCAACAGCGGGCGAUGUCUACAGCUAUGGAAUUGUCAUCCUAGAAAUGCUCACGGGGAAAUGGCCAACAGAUGUAUUGUUCAAGAAUGGCCUGAGCCUUCAGAAAUUCGUGGGAAAUGCAUUCCCCGAAAAGAUCUGUGAGAUACUUGAUCCUAAUAUCAUCGGAGACGAAGUUGUGGACCAUGGAAAUCAUGCAAUGGUGGGGAUGUUGAGCUGCAUUAUGCAGCUUGUUCAGCUUGGUCUCUCAUGCUCCACGGAGACACCAAAAGACCGACCGACAAUGCCGGACGUCUAUGCAGAAGUCUCCGCAAUCAAACGAGAAUAUUCAGCAUUGCGUGUCAAGGAAUAG
rnacentral:rRNA from 1 species